CCUCAGCCCGCCGGACUCAGGCUCAAGUCUGAGCUUCGCCUCUGUAGCUCCGGUUUAGCGGUCUGCUCUGCGGCUUGUGUCUGAAGCUUUCGGUCUCUGGAUGGGCCUUCUGUGGGCUUUAAGGAUCCGUAGCCAGAAUCAUUCAUUCAGUAGUGAUCCAGCCUUUACUAGGUGCCAGCAGCACCGCGUAGUGUUGAAAGCUAUGGGUUGUGAAGUCACGUGGUUUGGGUUCAAAUCCUGGCGCUGGCGCCUGUCGGCCGGGUUAACGCCACCAAAUUAUUUCAUCUCUCCGAGCUUGUUACUCACUCUACAAAGUGGGAAGAGGCCGAGAUUGUCGUGAAAGGAGCUUCUGCUCCUAGUGCAAACCGAUCUAUAAAUGCUGGACUCCACCGCCCCAGAGCUUGGGGGAGAUCUUGUCACUCCUCUAUGUUUCCAUUCCCGAGGGGUAAAUGGCAUAUAUUUUUUUCUUUCAAAACGAAUCAUAGUCAGGCGCGGCCUGUAAUCCGAGCACUUUGGGAAGCUCAGGCGAGCUGAUCACCUGAGGUCAGGAGUUCGGGACCAGCCUGGCCAACAUAGCGAAACCCCGUCUCUACUAAAAAUAAAAGAAUUAGCCGGACGUGGUGGCGGGCGCCUGUAAUCCCAGCUACUAGGAAAGCUGAGACAGAAGAAUCGCUGGAACCCGGGAGUCGGAGGUUGCAGUGGGCCAAGAUUGCACCACUGCACUCCACAGAGCGAGACUGUCUCAAUAAAUAAAUUAAUCGAAUCCUGUUGAGGUAUAAUUUACAAACAAUGGUUACACCCACGUCAGUGGAAGAGUUUGAUGACUUUUAGCAAAUGCAUGUAUAGGUGUAAUGACCUCCCCAGUCAAAAUGACAGUUUCCAUCGCCCC
rnacentral:lncRNA from 10 species